rnacentral:lncRNA from 1 species
CGCGCGUGCCCCGCCCCCACCGCGCCUUCGCCCGCUCCCAUUGGCUCCUCCUCGGGAGGGGGGCGUGGCCCGAGGCAAGCCUCCCGCUGUGAUUGGCUGGAGGGGCGGGGACCGCGCUCUGGGCCACGCCCUCAAGUGUUCUCUCAGCAGAUGGCGUAUAAAAGAGGUAUCCUUCCGCAAAGCUCUGGGGAGAAAAGUCCUCUAGCUCGUCCCCUUCCACGAAGACCUCAAAGACGGGGCCAAAUGGAAAACCCAGCAAGGGGAAGAACAGACAUUCCUAAAGCCACUGGGACCGCACUGAAUUCCAAAGUGGAGCCCACAGUGCAGAUGGCAAUUGAUUCUGGAGCUGGCAAUUAUGAUACKCUUUGCUGUAUUUAUCCGUACAAAACACGAAGCUUGGUGAAGUUUGUGCUGCUACARUGGGUCAUCUGGAGCAGAAUAAAAGAAACAUUUUCUGAGCCUCACUGCCGUGUGACAUCCGUUAUUGUCAUAGCAUGACCC